AUUGAACGCUGGCGGCAUGCCUUACACAUGCAAGUCGAACGGUAACAGGUUAAGCUGACGAGUGGCGAACGGGUGAGUAAUGUAUCGGAACGUGCACAGUCGUGGGGGAUAACUGCUCGAAAGAGCAGCUAAUACCGCAUACGACCUGAGGGUGAAAGCGGGGGAUCGCAAGCCCUCGCGCGAUUGGAGCGGCCGAUAUCAGAUUAGGUAGUUGGUGAGGUAAAGGCUCACCAAGCCGACGAUCUGUAGCUGGUCUGAGAGGACGACCAGCCACACUGGGACUGAGACACGGCCCAGACUCCUACGGGAGGCAGCAGUGGGGAAUUUUGGACAAUGGGCGCAAGCCUGAUCCAGCCAUGCCGCGUGCGGGAAGAAGGCCUUCGGGUUGUAAACCGCUUUUGUCAGGGAAGAAAAGGUUCUGGCUAAUACCUGGGACUCAUGACGGUACCUGAAGAAUAAGCACCGGCUAACUACGUG
rnacentral:rRNA from 1 species